rnacentral:lncRNA from 1 species
UGCCUGAGUCGCCAGGAAAUCUGUCCCCUGCUCAUCCCAGAAUCCCCGAGCUUUGACUUUUUAAGAGAACAUGUGACAGAUAAUGCCGUCUGAGAAGGGACCUCUUAUUUUCUCCAGCUGGAACUGUGUCAGAGCUACAUGGGAGUCUGCAGUUGUUCACUGAGGAGCCAUAAUGGUUACAAAUACUCAACCA